GCCCGGCUGACGCAAUGGUAGCGUUAUAGGUUUCUACCCUAUCGGUUGCGUGUUCGAGUCGCGCGUCGGGCU
rnacentral:tRNA from 2 species